rnacentral:rRNA from 1 species
AUGGCUCAGGACUGAACGCUAGCUACAGGCUUAACACAUGCAAGUCGAGGGGAAACGACAGGGAGUGCUUGCACACGUCUGGGCGACGACCGGCGCACGGGUGAGUAACGCGUAUCCAACCUGCCCACCACUUGGGAAUAACCUUGCGAAAGUAAGACUAAUACCCGAUGAUAUCUCUAGACGACAUCUGAAAGGGAUUAAAGAUUUAUCGGUGAUGGAUGGGGAUGCGUCUGAUUAGCUUGUUGGCGGGGUAACGGCCCACCAAGGCGACGAUCAGUAGGGGUUCUGAGAGGAAGGUCCCCCACAUUGGAACUGAGACACGGUCCAAACUCCUACGGGAGGCAGCAGUGAGGAAUAUUGGUCAAUGGGCGAGAGCCUGAACCAGCCAAGUAGCGUGCAGGAUGACGGCCCUAUGGGUUGUAAACUGCUUUUAUGCGGGGAUAAAGUGGGGGAUGCAUCCCUUUUUGCAGGUACCGCAUGAAUAAGGACCGGCUAAUUCCGUG